rnacentral:rRNA from 1 species
AUUGAACGCUGGCGGCAGGCCUAACACAUGCAAGUCGAGCGAGCGGCGGACGGGUGAGUUAUGUCUGGGAAACCGUCCGAUGGAGGGGGACAAUUAGUGGAAACGGUAGCUAAUACCGAAUACCAUCAGAUGUGUCUAGUUGGGAUUGGCUAGUUGGGGGGGGAAUGGCUCACCUAGGCGACGAUCCCUAGCCGGUCUGAGGGGAUGACCAACCACUCUGGGACUAGGACACGGUCCAAACUCCUACGGGAGGCAGCGGUGGGGAUUAUUGGACAAUGAGCACAAGCCUAAUGCGGCCAUGCCGCGUGUGUGAGGAGGGCCUUCGGGUUGUAAAGCACUUUAAGCGGGGAAGCGUUACUCGCAGAAGAAGCACCGGCUAACUCCGUGCCAGCAGCCGCGGUAAUAC